GUUGACGCCAGGAAGCUGUGGGUUACAAUGGGCAGACAGAGGUGGUAAAGCAGCCCAGCCCCCAGAUCAGAAAAGGCCACAGAGCUUCAGUCCAAGGAGAAAUGGCUUCAGGUGCGGCUGCAUCCAGGUGCUCAUGUGUUGUGGACAGAAACACCUUUCUGCAUCUUUGGCUCUGCAUUCUCCUCCCUGGGCCUUAUUCUCUGGCUAGUUCUUCCUCUGAGUGACAAGGAUCUGGGUUUACACUGUCUCAGAGUGGCAACUCCAGCAGAAAGAGCACACCUCCUUCGGCAGGUGUUGCCAGACCCAGCACAGAAGAGAUGGGGAUCUGAGCUCCAGGCCUGCCUUGUGGCAGCAUCUCCAUCUGCCUUCUCCCAAGUCCUUCAGAUCCUGGCCCAGUGGAGCCUCAAGCUCUGCACCCUCAGGCUGGAUUCAGGAAAUGCCUCCUUGCUGAUUUCCUUCAGGUCAGGCUCAGAUUCAGGGAAAACCACCAGCCACCCCACCCUGCUGGACGCAGCUCAGAGGCACCCUCCUGGAAGUCUCCCAGGAUUGCUCCCAGGAAGAAGGGAGGAGGAGAAGAGGCGGUCCAUGCAUUGGGUUGGGACCCUGCAUGCAUCUGUCCCCUCCUGAACUCCAAUGACAGCAGCUCAUGUCCAUUGCACUCCGACAGUGUGCCAGCCCCUCAGGAGCCCUGGGACCAGGAUUCUCUUCAUCUUCACUGCAGUCUUGCCUGGAGGCCCAUUUUGCAGAGAAGCAAGCUGAGCCUUGAGAGGUCAAGCACUGGCCCCAGGCCACAAGGCCAGAAUGGUAGAGCAGGAUGAAUCCUGGAGCCCGGACUCUCAUGCAGGGAUUACAAAACAGUCUGGAUGCUGUCCCCAGGCUGGGCUCAUCAUGCAAGUUAGGAAGCCGGGGUCAGGAUCUCUCUGUGUAACCCAGGCUGGCCUCAAACUCGAGAUGAUCCUUCUGCCUCAGCCUCCCUAGUGUUGAGAUGACAGCACCCGGCUCUACUCUUGACUUUAGAGUGUGCCAAUGUAUCCUAGACGCAAGUUCUUUGCCAGAUAUGCUUGCUGCCAAGCUGUGGCUUGUCUUCCCAUCCUCUUAGCAGGGAUUUUGCAGAACAUUUUUAAAUUAAAUGCGGU
rnacentral:lncRNA from 1 species